rnacentral:rRNA from 1 species
AGCGAACGCUGGCGGCAGGCCUAACACAUGCAAGUCGAACGGACCUUUCGGGGUUAGUGGCGGACGGGUGAGUAACACGUGGGAACGUGCCUUUAGGUUCGGAAUAGCUCCUGGAAACGGGUGGUAAUGCCGAAUGUGCCCUUAGGGGGAAAGAUUUAUCGCCUUUAGAGCGGCCCGCGUCUGAUUAGCUAGUUGGUGAGGUAAUGGCUCACCAAGGCUACGAUCAGUAGCUGGUCUGAGAGGAUGACCAGCCACAUUGGGACUGAGACACGGCCCAAACUCCUACGGGAGGCAGCAGUGGGGAAUCUUGCGCAAUGGGCGAAAGCCUGACGCGGCCAUGCCGCGUGGAUGAUGAAGGUCUUAGGAUUGUAAAAUCCUUUCACCGGUGAAGAUAAUGACUGUAGCCGGAGAAGAAGCCCCGGCUAACUUCGUGCCAGCAGCCGCAGUAA